CCUACGGGAGGCAGCAGUGGGGAAUUUUGGACAAUGGGGGCAACCCUGAUCCAGCCAUUCCGCGUGAGUGAAGAAGGCCUUCGGGUUGUAAAGCUCUUUCGGUCGGGAAGAAAAGGUUCUGGCGAAUAACCAGGACUGCUGACGGUACCGGCAGAAGAAGCACCGGCUAACUACGUGCCAGCAGCCGCGGUAAUACGUAGGGUGCGAGCGUUAAUCGGAAUUACUGGGCGUAAAGCGUGCGCAGGCGGCUUAUCAAGUCAGAUGUGGAAGCCCCGGGCUUAACCUGGGAAUGGCGUUUGAAACUGAUAGGCUAGAGUGUGUCAGAGGGAGGUAGAAUUCCACGUGUAGCAGUGAAAUGCGUAGAGAUGUGGAGGAAUACCGAUGGCGAAGGCAGCCUCCUGGGAUAACACUGACGCUCAGGCACGAAAGCGUGGGGAGCAAACAGGAUUAGAUACCCUGGUAGUCCACGCCCUAAACGAUGUCAACUAGGAGUUGGAGGAUGAAUUCCUCAAGUUCCGUAGCUAACGCGUGAAGUUGACCGCCUGGGGAGUACGAUCGCAAGAUUAAAACUCAAAGGAAUUGACGGA
rnacentral:rRNA from 1 species